AGUUGUGUGGUCUAAUGGUUAUGAUAUCUCGUUCACAAUCUAAAUAAUAUCCGAGAUGGUUCUGAGUUCGAUCCUCAGCACGACUA
rnacentral:tRNA from 1 species